UGAGGAACAUGACUUUCGGCGGGGGAUAGCCGGCCCAACGGCCGGGUAAUACCGCGUACGACCACAUGGGGACAUCCCUGAGUGGUGAAAGCAGCAAUGCGCCGAUGGAGUGCCUCGCGGCCUAUCAGCUAGUUGGUGAGGUAACGGCUCACCAAGGCGACGACGGGUAGCUGGUCUGAGAGGAUGGCCAGCCACAUUGGGACUGAGACACGGCCCAGACCUCUACGGGAGG
rnacentral:rRNA from 1 species